CCUACGGGAGGCAGCAGUAGGGAAUAUUGCUCAAUGGGGGAAACCCUGAAGCAGCAACGCCGCGUGGAGGAUGAAGGUUUUCGGAUUGUAAACUCCUUUUGUUAGGGAAGAUAAUGACGGUAUCUAACGAAUAAGCACCGGAUAACUCCGUGCCAGCAGCUGCGGUCAUACGGAGGGGGCAAGAGUUAUUCAGAAUCACUGGGCGUAAAGAGGGCGGAGGCGGGAUAGCAAGUCAGAUGUGAAAUCCUAUGGCCUAACCAUAGAACUGCAUGUGAAACUGUUAUUCUUGAGUAUGGGAGAGGUAGGUGGAAUUCUUGGUGUAGGGGUGAAAUCCGUAGAGAUCAAGAGGAAUACUCAUUGCGAAGGCGACCUGCUAGAACAUAACUGACGCUGAUGCGCGAAAGCGUGGGGAGCAAACAGGAUUAGAUACCCCGGUAGUC
rnacentral:rRNA from 1 species